GCCCCAUCAUUUAGGAUAAACACAUACUCUGAUAUCGACUUGCUAUCAUCUGCUUUUUCAUGAUCCUCUCUUGGAUCAGCUUGAAAUCCGAUAGCUAUGCCCAAAGCAUAAGCUACAUCAGGCCUGGUACAAGCAUGGCAUACAUAAUUGAUCCCAUAUCCAAAGCAUAAGGGAUUUCAUUCAUCCUCUUUCUCUCCUCUAAUAUCUUAGGAU
rnacentral:lncRNA from 1 species